GCAGAAGACCGGUCUGUCGCUGCUGACACUUUGUCAGGAGAGGAAAGUCCGGGCAACAUAGGGUAUCUUGCUUCCUAACGGAAAGCUGUUGGCGACAGCAGAGUAAUGCAGAAGAAAACAACCACCUUAUAAAGUAACAUAAGGAAAGGGUGAGAAGGUGGGGUAAGAGCCUACCAGUCGGGUGGCGACAUCCGAGCUGUGCAUCUGAGGAGUUGAAAGAUCAUGUAAACCAGCGCUAUGAGGGCGACCCGUCCAAGCUGGAGGGUAGAUCGAUAGAGGCUAUUGGUGACAGUAGUCGUAGAUAAAUGACAGACAGCGUCGCAUUCCCAUAAGAAAGGCUACGCUACAGAACCCGGCUUACAGGCCUUCUGCUUUU
rnacentral:RNase_P_RNA from 1 species